UAGGGAAUAUUGCUUAAUGGGCGAAAGCCUGAAGCAGCAACGCCGCGUGUGUGAAGAAGGCCUUCGGGUUGUAAAGCACUUUUUGAGGGAAUGAGGAAGGACAGUACCCUCAGAAUAAGCCUCGGCUAACUACGUGCCAGCAGCCGCGGUAAAACGUAGGAGGCGAGCGUUAUCCGGAUUUACUGGGCGUAAAGCGCGUGCAGGCGGCACGGCAAGUUGGAUGUGAAAGCUCCCGGCUUAACUGGGAGAGGUCGUUCAAAACUGCCGAGCUAGAGUGCGGGAGAGGGAGGUGGAAUUCCGGGUGUAGUGGUGAAAUGCGUAGAUAUCCGGAGGAGCACCAGUGGCGAAAGCGGCCUCCUGGUCCGCAACUGACGCUCAGACGCGAAAGCUAGGGUAGCAAACGG
rnacentral:rRNA from 1 species